rnacentral:SRP_RNA from 1 species
UCGUGCUAGACGGGGAGCUAGCGGUGCCCUGUAGCCUGCAAUCCGCUACAGCAGGGUUGAAUCCCUCGUAUAGACUUUAAUUUGUCAGGUCAGUGUAAUUAGGCUGGUGCUGAGAGCUUGGUCCCAUGCAGCAGAAACUCAUGAAAUCCGUCAGGUCCGGAAGGAAGCAGCGGUAAAUGAUACUUUCUGUGUGCCGUGGAAUAACCUAGUUUGAGUUGGCUUAACUGCAAACGCUGGUAGAUUAAUAGUCGACACGAGGUGCACGA